rnacentral:lncRNA from 1 species
AAUUCUUCAAUUGAGCAUUAAAUUUAAAAAUAAUUUUUUAAAUUUUCAAUCUACUUUAAUCUUUUUUAUUAUAAAAUUUGAAAUAUAUAAAUAAUUAUCAAAUAGUUCAGACGUUGGUAUUAAAUAUAAAUAUUAAUUUUAUAAUAUUGAGAAUUCAGAUAUAAAUUAUACAUAAUUUUAUGUUUUACGAAAGUUAGUUGCGAGAAUCAUAUGAAAUAUGCUAACUAAAACAUUAGUACACACCAGAUGCAAGAAAAGAUCUCUCUUCUCAUUUCACUAACUAAUGGGGGACUAUCAUGAAUACUAAAAAUUUUGAAUGUGCUCCAUAUUUGGAAUAAUUAGCAUAGGGUAAUUUUAUUUGUACCCUCAAAAGAUUGGAAAUAACAUAAAUAACAUUAUAAAAUUAGUAAUAUAAAACCAAAUAAAAGAGAACAAGAUAAGAAAAUAUUUAAUAAAGUUGACAAAUUAUUUCAAAAUAGCUUAUUAUUGAGAAAACUCUUUAUAUUUUCUAUAUUAGGGAAGAUAGUUGUAUUUAUUUAAAAUUAUUCCGUAAUUUGUCCGUAAUAUUCCAUAAUUAUUCUAAAAUUAAUUUUUAUAACUAAUUUUAAAGAUUAAAUUGUAAAAUAACUACCCGCAGCAUCGCGCAUGUCUCUUAACUAGUUUUAAAUUAAAUGCUCACUUUUAGAGGUGUUAGCUAGCCGAAUUCUCUGACUUUUGACCAGGUCAAAGAUCCUCCUCGGGAAGUGUGUCGGGAUGAAAACGGCUUCGGAAGGUGACCCUCGAAGUUUGCGCCCUUCGAUCGAUCAAGCGAUUCGGCUGAUGAGGGAUCUGAUCAGCCGGGUUCGAAAUCUCUAUAAUAAAUUUGGUUCGGCUGGAUGAGCCGAAUGUACGGAUCAGGCAAGAACUGAAGUCGGCCGAGGAGCCGAAUGACUAAAAAACACAAGAAUUUGUCGAUUUGAAGAACCGAAUGCCUUUAUAUUAACUGGUAAGAAGUAUAGGGGUUGAGUGUGUCGGAUGGCAUGCAGACUCGGUUGAUUUACUUAAAGAACUACUCCUAAAAAGAACAGUAAGUGCGGGAAAGAAAGAAUUACAAGUAGACUACUCAUAGAAAAUAUAGAAAAUUGUGAGGAAAUAAGGGCGGUCUUUUAUUCACAGGGAAAAAGAUCUCUUUUUAAGGCAUUAUUGACCUAUUUAUAGAUCGCCCCUUGACCAGUUAUUGCUCUUACACGAUCGGCCACUAUCUCUUAAUUUUUCGGACCACUUUCAGCCCACUUUCAGCCGAUCGGAACCGCUUGCAACUGCUUGCGGUUACUGUAACCUCCCUUAAUUGGCGCGACGGUUUGCUUUUUAAACUCUUCCGGUGCUCCUGGUGUACAACAAUAUUAACGCCUUUGAAUGGAAUACCGGCGUACCAUCUGUCCGCGCC